UUUUUAGGGCUUGAUGCACGUGAAUUUUUUUCUCUGAACCCAACAAAACCCAACAAUUGUGAGGGUUCAGAUUUCGUGGAAAUUCAAGUGGACGAUACGAGAUUCAACGACGGCUGUUGUGGUUCUCGAAUGGAGGAUUCAGAUAAAAUCUGAGCCCUUGCUCGUUUUUUCGUCGGAGAUGAUCGACACAGUAGACGAUGAUGCUGAUGGGACAAGUCUUCUCUCCCUCCAUGCUUUUGAGACAACUCGUAGGGCGGUGGACUUUUAUUUCAUAUAUUUGCAAUGAUGUGAGAAGAUCACAUGAUUCCACACUAUGUUCGUUACAAUCCAGGCCGCCUGACAAUCGGAGUACGUCCGUUGGGUGCAUUCACAUUGCCGCAGAGAGAGAGGUGUGCUGGGUGGUUGUACUGGAGGUCACGGUCCAACAGGCGAGUUUUUAACAGGUUACUGUCGUCUGUUUGUUUUUCUUUUUGAAUAAAAUUAAAAAUUAAUGAU